UUUCUUAAAUAUGCCAUUACAGUCGGCAGAUACAUGUUUUGUCCAACCAGAAAAUUUCUUUUCAGGAUACUGCUUCUUUGGGCAUGGGAAAGAAGCGUUUGACAUGCCACCAGUGCAUGCACAGCUUUGAAAAGGAUGUUGUUGUUUGCUCUAAUUGUAAGAUCAAGCGAUAUUGCCGCUCAUGUGUGGCCAAAUGGUAUCCCGAACAAAGUACAGAGGAUGUUGAAGUUGCUUGCCCAUUUUGUCGUGGUAACUGCAACUGUAAGGCAUGUUUGCGUGUAUUCCUCGAUUUUAAGUUUAGCAGAAAAGAACUGGAUGACGCAGCCAGAUUGGAACAGUUGCUCUAUCUGUUGCAUAGAGCCUUGCCUAUCCUCAGACUUAUUGAUAAGGAACAUAAAUCAGAGAUUGAAGUUGAAUCAAGGAUUCAAGCAAUUAAAUCAGAUGAGGUGAUUGUGCCAAGGACCAUGCUAGACAUUGGGGAACGCAUAUAUUGUGACUGCUGCAGUACUUCUGUUGUUGAUUUCCAUCGUACUUGUACCAAUUGUUCAUAUGAUCUUUGUCUCUCUUGCUCCCGAGAACUGCGUGAAGGUUAUCAACCUGCUGUUCAGAAAUCAGAUUCUGCUCCAAGUCCAGUUCUUGUACAGAAAUCAAAUCAUGCUACUGCCAUGAAUGGAAGAAUUGACCUUCCACGAAAAAAAUUUGGUUGGCAGGGCGCAGAUCCGAGUACAAGCAACAAUAAAUUCAUUGAUAAAUCUUGCUCCUUUUCUGAUUGGAGAGCGAACGAUGAUGGUAGUAUUUCAUGCCCUCCUAAAGAACACGGCGGAUGUGGAAAUGGUGUCCUUGCCUUAAAGCGCACCUUUAAAUCUAAUUGGGUGGUUAAGCUUAUUCAAAAUGCGGAGAGAUUAACAAAUAGUAGUCUCUUUGCAGAUGAGAGCGCAUCUGACAUUUGUUCAUUAUGCCCUGAGAAAUGCUUAUUUUCUGGAGUUGAUCAAAAUAAUUUCGCCCUCCGCAGGGCAGCAUCUCGGAAAAGUAGCCAUGAUAAUUUUUUGUAUUGUCCCAAUGCAAUGGAGUUGGUAGAUGAUGAAUAUGCUCAUUUUCAAAAGCAUUGGAGAAGGGGUGAACCAGUGAUUGUCAGAGGUGUUCUUGAGAGAACAACUGGUCUUAGUUGGGAUCCUAUGGUUAUGUGGAGGGCUCUUCGAGAAAAAAAAAUUGAAAAGUUUAAAGAGGAGGGUUAUGCUGUUAAGGCAGUCGAUUGUCUAGACUGGUGUGAGGUCGAAAUUAAUAUUCACAAGUUUUUCAAAGGCUAUGUGGAAGGUCGGAUUCAUAAAAAUGGAUGGCCUGAGAUGCUAAAGUUGAAAGAUUGGCCUCCAUCUAGUUUAUUUGCAGAGCGUUUACCAAGGCACUGUGCUGAGUUUAUUGCUGCUCUUCCGUAUAAAGAAUAUACUCAUCCAGUCGCUGGAAUACUAAACAUUGCUUCACGGAUCCCUGAAGGUCGUUCCAGCCCUGAUUUAGGCCCCAAAACUUACAUUGCUUAUGGUUUCCAUGAUGAGCUUGGUAGAGGAGAUUCGGUGACAAAACUGCACUGUGAUAUAUCUGAUGCGGUAAAUGUCUUGACUCACACAGCUAAGUUGACGAUGUCUUCUUGGCAUACAGAACGAAUUAAAGAGCUGCAGAGGAAAUAUGAUAGUGAUGAUUGUCAGGAACUGUACAUAUUUCAAGAUAAAACAGUAAUAGCGAAGGUUGAGGAAAAUAUGGAACCGACUAAAUAUUUUACAAUUUUAAAUUCUAGUAGUACCAAUUUGGAUGAGAAGACUGGAAUGUCUUCUGUUGCAGCGCAAGAAAAGGAGUUAGGAGGAGUUAGCAUUGAACAAUCUGAGGAGAUCCAAGUUAGCUCAAGUGGAAAUAUGCCAGGGUGCUCUUCUGUUGUUAGAAUGAAUAUAGCUAUGAUCGGGGAAGUAGAAGAAGGAAGUCUGGUGCAGGAGCUUGGUUUUGAUGAAUCUUGCAAUAAGAUAAAGAACCAAUGGAAAAAAAUUACUGAUGAUGUCGAGAAUAAUGGAGGCUCUUUGGAUGUCUCUUCUUCAAACAACAAUUUAUGCCAGGAUAUUGAGUUAAUAGGAAGGCUUGUUGGUUCUGAAAAGUCAAUUUCCCGUGGUUCUGGCAACUCCUUUGAUAAGAAAAUGAAGUUGAAGGAAGAAAGUGUGGAGAUUUUGAUGGUGAUGUUCAACCAAAAGUUUAAUCACGUUGUUCCUUACAGGGAAGUUAGUUUUAAUGAUUUACCAAAUGAUUUAAGUCAUAUCUGGUAUGGUAGUCAAGCUGACAACUGUCUUUCUACAUCAAUCAAGCUUGAUGAACCUGGGCGUCCAAUCGGUCAAGACACUGCUGCAUCAGUGCCGAAAGCUAUGGAUUUAUUAAAUAAAUUGGAUCAUAACUGCAAUUCAGAAGUUUAUUGUGGUGGUGCAGUUUGGGACAUAUUCCGAAGGGAAGAUGUACCCAAGCUAAUUGAGUAUCUGCAGAAGCAUUGGAAAGAGUUCCGCCAUAUUAAUGCUCAUCCUCUUAACUCAAUUGUUCAUCCCAUCCAUGAUCAAACUCUCUUUUUGAAUGAGAGACAUAAGAAACAGCUUAAAGAUGAAUUCAAUGUGGAGCCUUGGACAUUUGAGCAAUAUCUUGGCGAGGCAGUUUUCAUCCCAGCAGGAUGUCCUCAUCAAGUCAGAAAUAGACAGUCUUGUAUCAAAGUUGCCCUUGACUUUGUAUCUCCUGAAAAUAUUGGGGAAUGUGUUCGAUUGACUGAGGAGUUUCGUUCGCUUCCAAUAACACAUCGAGCUAAAGAAGAUAAGCUGGAGGGGUUUAUAUCCUCAAGCAAUCGAGCCAUCACCUUCUUCCUCUUUUCAAUUCUCUCAUCUUAAAAGAGAGAAGUCAAGGCGAUUUCAAGAGAUGGAGGAAUACGAAGGUCAAGAAAGAUGGCAUUUAUAAGAGCUUGUCAUCAAAUCUUCAAUCAAUUGACAUCACAUUAAAUUUUCUUCCACACUAAUUUGGUAUUAACGCCAAAUCUCUUGAAGGUUAAAAAGAUGGUCCUUUAUGCUGCCAGUGCCGCUAUAAGAGAGGCGACAGAAUUAAUCUCAAAAU